UUCAUUCCCUCUCUGGGAUGUGCUGGGGUAAGAGCUCUCCUCUCAUUUCAGUGAAGAGGCUUUUUCAGCCCAUCUCAGUUUCUUUUCAGCAGGUGUUUCUGGGCAUCUAAAGCACAGAGGCUUGGAAGAUUCUGUGAAGAAAACAGCAUGGAAUACAGGGAGUAUUUAGAUUGAUCAUGUCACAAGAGGGAUCUGCCCAGUGUCCAAGAUGAUGUUUGAGAUUGAGGCUUCAGCUGACCGAGAGGCUCACAGGCCAUCACAGAGCCCUCCGAGGCAGACUCAUUUCAGGUGCAACGUGGAUUCCCAUCACCGAUCAUCCAAAAGAUAAGUUGAGGGCCACGGCCUGGAGAUGAGAGAAUAGUGGGUUGGGAGUUCUUGGGGCAGAUUUAAAAAUUGGCAGCAGGAAAAGCAAUCCUCUCCAAGGGCCUCUUAGGACAGCAAAAGGGAGAGGCUCUACUUUUGAUGGCAGCUUUCAGGCGGGCAGUGCAGAACAGCUCCGGUCUGUGUCCUGUUGUCUGGUGUACUGUGUUCCCUAGUGUGUCUUUGGGGUCCCUUUUGCCUUCCCCCCUCAAUCCCCUCACCACAAGCAUGAUGUGUCGUGUUUCAUGUCCCCCUGUUUGUCACGUUCUGUGUCACGGGUGUCUGCGGGUAUUUGUGCCGGAGCUGUUCUGCCCUGCUCAUGGCCUGCUGCAGUAGGACAAGCCUUGGGGAGUUGAAAUUUGUAAUGUGGGGUGUACUUGGGCUCUAGAUGCUAUUCCUAGAUUGACAUAAGAGGUUUGCAGCUUGUGAGUUACCCUGGUGGUGUUUGACAUAUGUUGUAACUUUCUUUCUGGUGCAGAUGCAUUCCAUGUGUGGCAGAGGGUCAGGGUUAGGAGGUGCCGGGCCUUCUUAGGAGCACGCUGUCUGAGAGACACCAGCCCGGUGCCAGCAGGACCUUCCCAGCUGACGAGGUGGCCUUUGUUUGCACCUGACACAGACUGGCAUCCCCAGAUGUCUGAGAGAUAAGUAGAGGGCUGUGACCCACAGUGGGGAUGAAGGCAUGGUGCUUGUUUGGGAAUUACUGGGAGGGGUUUUUGAGUCCAUUUUGGAGGUGGGGGGUGUUCAUGAAGUGGCCCCUUAGGCUCCAUAAAAGCCACGUCUCACUUUUGAUCCCAGUGCUGAGGAGCGCAGGGCAGAGCAGUCCCGGUGUGUCUUGUGUCACUUGUCUAUUGUGCAUUAUGUGUUAUUUGUGUAUCCCAUGUCUUUUACCUUAGGGGGGCCUGUCAGAAACCCUGGCAUCAUUGUUAGCCUCUGUGACCUCUGCAUUCCUUGGCCUGGCACGCAGGUCAUGGAACUUUUUACUCGGGAGCUCAGACAGGCAUCAGACUCUCUUCUCUCUUUAGAAGCAUCCAGUCAGGUGUCUUGUCAGGUCUUCUUCUGAGCUGUACGGACAGCUGUGCACCACCUGGAUCCAUUAUGGUGGAUUAGGACUUGUAAUAUUACGAGGUUAGGUAGAGGGUUUUGACUGUAGGAUUCCUAGGCAUCCAUCUUUGCACUUCUUGGAAUAAAUCAUUGAGUUAGCAUCUUCUUCCUCCAGGGUUCUCUGAGCCUCAUCAGCUGACCGUCAGUUUGAACUCAGUCAUCUCCUUUUGCGUUCGCUCAGUCCUUGCAGCCGUUUUCCUUGCCAAGAGAUUUCUGUUCCUGUUGUGUCCCCGUUGUCUGUCCUGUCCUGUCUGUCCUGUGUCACGGGUGUCUGCACACAGUUGUGCCGGGGCUGCUCUGCCCUUCCGCACAGCCUGGUGCAAUAGGAGAAGUCCUGGGGACUUGGAAUUUGUAAUUUGGGGUGUAGUUGGACUCUAGAUGGGAUUUGUAGAUGGACACAGGACCUCUGGAGCUCAUCAGUUAUCCUGCCACAGUGUGACUCUUGUCCUAACUUUUUUUUUCAGAUUCAGAUGGAUUAAAUCUGUGCCAGAGGGCCCCAUGCCAGGAAGGCAGUCUGGAUGCCAGCAGUCAAGGUGGGCAGCGGAGAGAAGUGGUUGUUAUUGCUCAGCUCUCAAGCACAACAAUUUUUCAGCAGAAUCAUCGUGUCACAAGAGGGAUCUGCCCAGUAUCAAGGAUGAUGUUUGUGAUUGAGACUUCAGGUGCCACUACUAAUAAAGGCUACAGCCUUGGAAUCAGGAUGAAGCUGGAGCCUGAGGGAGCCAGGCACGCUCAGGAGAGGCCAAACUCAUCACGGCGGGACAGCGUGAGGACUGAAAGUGUAAGAAGAUGUGGAGGGAAACAGAGAAUCUGACAGGAGCAGCGAACGCACGAGUGCACGAAUUUUGCUUCUUGCUUGGAUGUAAACUCAGGAGUUGAGAGGAAUUUGGGAGUGAGAAGGGACAUUUUAGAAGGAGAAGAAGAAAAAGAAGUUGUUGCUACAGUCCUGGCAAAAGAUUUUGUUCUAGCUAAUAAAAGAAGUUAGC